UAUAUUUUCAAUUGUUUUCAA
rnacentral:piRNA from 1 species